AUAGGAAAACUCAAAUAUGGAAAGAAGAAAAAAAAAAAAAUAAUAAUUAAAAGUAAUAAUAAUAAUAAUUCAGUUAACCUGCACAGUGAUACCCAGGGUUGUGAGAACAGCCCAGUGAUUUUUGAGAACUGGUCAACUCGUGAGCCUGAGAUUUGGGUUCACCAUCUCACAGUGGAACUGUACUGCAGUACGUGGAUGCUACAGUAACAAAGGACUGUGUGCAAUGGACUGUGAGCUUGCUGAAUUUCUUGAUUUAAAUGGCUAUCAAGUUUCUCAACAGAAAGAACAACCGAUCAAAGAGAAGGAAGCAACUUGCUGAAUACCCAGAACGCCAACACAGAGCUGCCUCCAAGCCAGCAGUGUGUGACUGCAUGGAGACUACGUGUGCAAGUUGGUCAGAGCUACAGGAGGAACCGUUGGACGAUGCUGAGGAGUCCUGGAUUCAUCGACGGAAGCAGUUUUGUGAAGACAAGGAAACCGUAAGGCAGGACAUGCAGUAACUGCUAUUGACAAGAUUCGCCCCUGGAACCAAGGUGGGUAGGUCUGUUCCAGGCGCUACUAACAUCACACACAAUAGUGAAAGCAUUGUGGAUACAUCAUACUAGAGUUAAGAAGGUCCAUCGAACACAAUGAGAAAUGCAAUCAGCUGGACCCUUAAAAUUGUGAAUCUAAGGACAGAAAUGUGGGCUCUUGUAACUGUUAGAAAUGUUGAUUUGAUGAGUGCAGCAUUUGAUGUAAAUACUUAUGUAUCUCUUGU